CACGUAGGGGGCGAGCGUUGUCCGGAUUUAUUGGGCGUAAAGAGCUCGUAGGCGGUUUCGUAAGUCGGAUGUGAAAACUCCAGCUCAACUUGGAGACGCCAUUCGAUACUGCGAUGACUUGAGUCCGGUAGGGGAGUGUGGAAUUCCUGGUGUAGCGGUGAAAUGCGCAGAUAUCAGGAGGAACACCGGCGGCGAAGGCGGCACUCUGGGCCGGUACUGACGCUGAGGAGCGAAAGCAUGGGGAGCGAACAGG
rnacentral:rRNA from 1 species